rnacentral:rRNA from 1 species
GACGAACGCUGGCGGCGUGCCUAAUACAUGCAAGUAGAACGCAGUUGCGAACGGGUGAGUAACGCGUAGGUAACUGCCUCAUAGCGGGGGAUAACUAUUGGAAACGAUAGCUAAUACCGCAUACUGUGAGAUGGACCUGCGUUGUAUUAGCUAGUUGGUGAGGUAAAGGCUCACCAAGGCGACGAUACAUAGCCGACCUGAGAGGGUGAUCGGCCACACUGGGACUGAGACACGGCCCAGACUCCUACGGGAGGCAGCAGUGGGGAAUAUUGGACAAUGGGCGAAAGCCUGAUCCAGCCAUGCCGCGUGUGUGAAGAAGGUCUUCGGAUUGUAAAGCACUUUAAGUUGGGAGGCGUUACCAACAGAAUAAGCACCGGCUAACUUCGUGCCAGCAGCCGCGGUAAUUC